rnacentral:misc_RNA from 1 species
AUGUUCUUUCGCUUUCAAUUUUGUUUUUUAUGUUAUGAAUUUUGUGAAUGCUGUCUUUAGAUCAUUGCUUUCGGGUAGUUGUUUUUAAAUCCGAGUAAGGUGGAUAUAGUAGAAUUCUAGUUUGGUUUAGUGGUUGAAUCAUGUGAGGUCCAUUAAGUGUGGAUUAUCUUGAAGGGUUUUUACUGGUCCUAAGAAGUUUUGUGUUACAGCUUUUCUUUACCCACUUUGUUCAAGUAGUUUCAGGGCGAUUUUGUCAAUUUAGGUAGGUAUAGUAACUUCUCAUUUGUUCUGGAUUUGCGUAGGAGAUGCACUGAGUUCAGUGGAUGCUACAUCCUAUGCGCGUCUUAUUUGUUUAGACAUGUAAGGCGUCUUGCAUUAAAUUAGUAUUUGUUAAUAUUGCUAUCUUCAACGGUUUUUUUUUGGUACUUUUUAAUUGUUUGCCGUAUGUACAUGUUAUGCUAUUAAGCAUCUCUUUAUGUUAGGUGUCUCUAUUUUGUGGUUUGUCUAUGUUGUGUACCACUUAAUCUUCUAUGAUUUUGCUAAUAAGAGUUGCCUAUCCAGCAUGGCUCACGAGACAACAACGA